UACAGAGGGGGCAAGCGUUGUUCGGAAUUACUGGGCGUAAAGGGCGCGUAGGCGGCCGCCUAAGUCAGACGUGAAAUCCCUCGGCUCAACCGGGGAACUGCGUCUGAUACUGGGUGGCUUGAAUUCGGGAGAGGGAUGCGGAAUUCCAGGUGUAGCGGUGAAAUGCGUAGAUAUCAGGAGGAACACCGGUGGCGAAGGCGGCUUGCUGGGCCAGUUCUGACGCUGAGGAGCGAAAGCGUGGGGAGCGAACAGG
rnacentral:rRNA from 1 species